AUACAAGUUCUAACUACAAGCUGUAUUCCAUUGUGAAUAUGGAUGCCCAAAAAUAUUCAGCUGUGAAAUUUGCAAUCUUACUGAUUUUCGUUAUUGUUGCAUCAGAUAUGUGUAAGAUAUCAGAUGCAAGAGGUCCUAUUGUCUCAUUUCACUGUGCUCGUGAUGAAACUUGUGAAAGUCGUUUUCCAAAUCAUGGUUGCAAAUGUGUUCAAUCUUUAUGCAUUUGUCAAGGAGAUCCUCCAAUAAUGUGAUACAUGUACGAAGAAUAAAAAAAAAUAGUAAUACAAGAUUGCAUCAAUUGUUAUGGUGUGAAAAAAAAUUAUAUAUUUGAUUAAUAAAUCCUCCAAUAUUUCUUA